rnacentral:misc_RNA from 1 species
GAUGAAGAACGUAGCGAAAUGCGAUAAGUAAUGUGAAUUGCAGAAUUCAGUGAAUCAUCGAGUCUUUGAACGCACAUUGCGCCCCCUGGUAUUCCGGGGGGCAUGCCUGUCCGAGCGUCAUUGCUGCCCUCAAGCACGGCUUGUGUGUUGGGCCCCCGUCCCCGGUUUCCCCCGGGGACGGGCCCGAAAGGCAGCGGCGGCACCGCGUCCGGUCCUCGAGCGUAUGGGGGUUUGUCACCCGCUCUGUAGGCCCGGCCGGCGCCAGCCGACACCCAACUUUAUUUCUAAGGUUGACCUCGGAUCAGGUAGGGAUACCCGCUGAACUUAAGCAUAUCAAUAAGCGGAGGA